GUUGCAUGACAUGGUGUGAAAAACUCCGGUGGUAUGAGAUGGACCCGCGUCUGAUUAGCUAGUUGGUGAGAUAACAGCCCACCAAGGCGACGAUCAGUAGCCGACCUGAGAGGGUGACCGGCCACAUUGGGACUGAGACACGGCCCAGACUCCUACGGGAGGCAGCAGUGGGGAAUAUUGCACAAUGGAGGAAACUCUGAUGCAGCGACGCCGCGUGAGUGAAGAAGUAAUUCGUUAUGUAAAGCUCUAUCAGCAGGGAAGAUAGUGACGGUACCUGACUAAGAAGCUCCGGCUAAAUACGUGCCAGCAGCCGCGGUAAUACGUAUGGAGCAAGCGUUAUCCGGAUUUACUGGGUGUAAAGGGAGUGUAGGUGGCCAUGCAAGUCAGAAGUGAAAAUCCGGGGCUCAACCCCGGAACUGCUUUUGAAACUGUAAGGCUAGAGUGCAGGAGGGGUGAGUGGAAUUCCUAGUGUAGCGGUGAAAUGCGUAGAUAUUAGGAGGAACACCAGUGGCGAAGGCGGCUCACUGGACUGUAACUGACACUGAGGCUCGAAAGCGUGGGGAGCACACAAGAGUAGAUACCCUGGUAGUCCACGCCGUA
rnacentral:rRNA from 1 species